rnacentral:rRNA from 1 species
GAUGAACGCUGGCGGCGUGCCUAAUACAUGCAAGUCGAGCGAACGGUCGAGAAGCUUGCUUCUCUGAUGUUAGCGGCGGACGGGUGAGUAACACGUGGAUAACCUACCUAUAAGACUGGGAUAACUUCGGGAAACCGGAGCUAAUACCGGAUAAUAUUUUGAACCGCAUGGUUCAAAAGUGAAAGACGGUCUUGCUGUCACUUAUAGAUGGAUCCGCGCUGCAUUAGCUAGUUGGUAAGGUAACGGCUUACCAAGGCAACGAUGCAUAGCCGACCUGAGAGGGUGAUCGGCCACACUGGAACUGAGACACGGUCCAGACUCCUACGGGAGGCAGCAGUAGGGAAUCUUCCGCAAUGGGCGAAAGCCUGACGGAGCAACGCCGCGUGAGUGAUGAAGGUCUUCGGAUCGUAAAACUCUGUUAUUAGGGAAGAACAUAUGUGUAAGUAACUGUGAACAUCUUGACGGUACCUAAUCAGAAAGCCACGGCUAACUACGUG